rnacentral:rRNA from 1 species
UACGUAGGGGGCAAGCGUUGUCCGGAAUCAUUGGGCGGUAAAGAGCGUGUAGGCGGCCUGGUAAGUCCGCUGUGAAAGUCCAGGGCUCAACCCUGGAAUGCCGGUGGAAACUGUCAGGCUCGAGUCCGGAAGAGGCGAGUGGAAUUCCGUGGUGUAGCGGUGAAAUGCGCAGAUAUCAGGAGGAACACCAAUGGCGAAGGCAGCUCGCUGGGACGGUAGCUGACGCUGAGACGCGAAAGCGUGGGGAGCAAACAGG